GGUGCCGUAGCCAAGUGGUAAGGCAGGGGUCUGCAAAACCCCGAUUCGCGGGUUCGAUUCCCGCCGGCACCUCCA
rnacentral:tRNA from 2 species